UACGUAGGGUGCGAGCGUUGUCCGGAAUUAUUGGGCGUAAAGGGCUCGUAGGCGGUCUGUUGCGUCGGGGGUGAAAACUCAGGGCUUAACCCUGAGCCUGCUUCCGAUACGGGCAGACUAGAGGUAUGCAGGGGAGAACGGAAUUCCUGGUGUAGCGGUGAAAUGCGCAGAUAUCAGGAGGAACACCGGUGGCGAAGGCGGCUCUCUGGGCAUUACCUGACGCUGAGGAGCGAAAGUGUGGGGAGCGAACAGG
rnacentral:rRNA from 1 species